GGCUAGAUAGCUCAGUUGGUAGAGCAAAGGACUGAAAAUCCUUGUGUCGCCGGUUCGAUCCCGGCUCUAGCCACCA
rnacentral:tRNA from 2 species